AUUGAACGCUGGCGGCAUGCCUUACACAUGCAAGUCGAACGGCAGCACGGGUGCUUGCACCUGGUGGCGAGUGGCGAACGGGUGAGUAAUACAUCGGAACAUGUCCUGUAGUGGGGGAUAGCCCGGCGAAAGCCGGAUUAAUACCGCAUACGAUCUACGGAUGAAAGCGGGGGACCUUCGGGCCUCGCGCUAUAGGGUUGGCCGAUGGCUGAUUAGCUAGUUGGUGGGGUAAAGGCCUACCAAGGCGACGAUCAGUAGCUGGUCUGAGAGGACGACCAGCCACACUGGGACUGAGACACGGCCCAGACUCCUACGGGAGGCAGCAGUGGGGAAUUUUGGACAAUGGGCGAAAGCCUGAUUCAGCAAUGCCGCGUGUGUGAAGAAGGCCUUCGGGUUGUAAAGCACUUUUGUCCGGAAAGAAAUCCUUGGCCCUAAUACGGUCGGGGGAUGACGGUACCGGAAGAAUAAGCACCGGCUAACUACGUG
rnacentral:rRNA from 1 species